AUUGAACGCUGGCGGCAGGCCUAACACAUGCAAGUCGAGCGAGUGGCGGACGGGUGAGUAAUGUAUGGGGACUGCCCGUUAGAGGGGGAUCACUACUGGAAAAGGUGGCUAAUACCGCAUACUAUCGGAUAACCCAUAAGGGAUGAGCUAGUAGGUGGGGUAAAGGCUCACCUAGGCGACGAUCGCUGGCUGGUCUGAGAGGCUGAUCAGCCAAACUGGGACUGAGACACGGCCCAGACUCCUACGGGGGCAGCAGUGGGGAAUUUUGCACAAUGGGCGCAAGCUGGAUGCGGCCAGGCGGCUGGGAGGAGGAAGGCCUUAGGGUUGAAAAGUACGUUAAGCGGGGAGGCGUUACCCGAAGAAGAAGCACCGGCUAACUCCGUGCCAGCAGCCGCGGUAAUAC
rnacentral:rRNA from 1 species